UACGAAGGGGGCUAGCGUUGCUCGGAAUCACUGGGCGUAAAGGGCGCGUAGGCGGCGUUUUAAGUCGGGGGUGAAAGCCUGUGGCUCAACCACAGAAUGGCCUUCGAUACUGGGACGCUUGAGUAUGGUAGAGGUUGGUGGAACUGCGAGUGUAGAGGUGAAAUUCGUAGAUAUUCGCAAGAACACCAGUGGCGAAGGCGGCUCACUGGCCCGAUACUGACGCUGAGGCACGAAAGCGUGGGGAGCAAACAGGGA
rnacentral:rRNA from 1 species